rnacentral:rRNA from 1 species
UACGUAGGGACCAAGCGUUGUUCGGAAUUACUGGGCGUAAAGCGUGCGCAGGCGGUGAUGUAAGACAGAUGUGAAAUCCCCGGGCUCAACCUGGGAACUGCAUUUGUGACUGCAUCGCUGGAGUGCGGCAGAGGGGGAUGGAAUUCCGCGUGUAGCAGUGAAAUGCGUAGAUAUGCGGAGGAACACCGAUGGCGAAGGCAAUCCCCUGGGCCUGCACUGACGCUCAUGCACGAAAGCGUGGGGAGCGAACAGG